AUAUCUUCCUGUCACUUAAGAGCUAAUGUCUAGAAACUCUGUUUUAUUCCAAUUGGAGCCACCCUCAAUAUGUAUCUUGUUUUUUAAUAAAAGAAGAUUGUGAAAGGUUCUAAGUAUCAAAAUGUAUCCUUUUGAACUAAGGUGAGAUUAAGCAUAGCCUACUCCUCCAUUAUGACAAAUGUCAUGACAGCAAUCCAGUCUCAGAAGAAAUUGAAACCAGGACCAUCUUCUCAUAUUGCCAGAGGACUCCAGAUUUCCCUGGAUAGUCAAUGAUUGUAGUAUCAGAAGGUAUUGCUAUGGACAUUGUUACAACUAACUUGUGAAGUGGGAAAAGUUCCCUUGUUCCCUCACAGGACGUGCGAUGGGGGUGUGGCUCACUUCCUCAGUGCCCCGCUGCUGGGACCUCUAGGGGAGCAUAUAGAUGUGCAGGCUGUGGGGCUCCGACCCCAAGGCAGUGUCUAGGGGUGAAUGUUUAUGGCUCCUGAAGCCCCAGUGGUUGUGUGUUACAGGGUGCUCUUUUAGUUUGCCUAUAGGCGGCUUGUGUUAGCUCAAUUAGACCCUCUUAUUGUUGCAAGGAGAGAAGGCUUUCUGUAUCCUAGGUUCUUGCCUUGGAGUACUGGAAGAAUCGGAUCACACCUGGGCUUGGAGAAUGAGUGCAAGGUUUUAUUGAGUGGAAGUAGCUCUCAGCAGAUGGGGGACAUAGAAGGGAGAUAGCUUUCCCCUGGAGUUGGCCAUCAGUAGCCCGGGCUCUUCUCUGACUGCCCUGGCCAAACUCCACGUCGUUCUGCCAGUUGGUGGCCUGCUGGUGUGCCCGUGCCUGUCGGUGCUUUCCUCUAGAAGUCCAACCGCCUGUGUGUUCCUCCGCCAAUGUGCUUCUCUCCACGUCCACCUGUCUCUGUGCCUUCUUUCGCGGAUCUGCUCCUCUCAACGUCCAGCCUCUUGUGUAUCUUCCCACUAAGGUCUCAAGUUUUUGUUUUAGUUUUUGUUUUGAGACGGAGUUUCACUCUUGUUGCUUGGAGUACAAUGGUGCAUUCUUGGCUCACUGCAACCUCCGCCUCUUGGGUUCAAGAGAUUCCCCUGCCUAGGCCUCCCGAGUAGCUGGGAUUACAGGCAUGCACCACUACGCCCGGCUAAUGUUUUUGUAUUUUUAGUAGAGAGGGGCUUCACCAUGUUGGCCAGGCUGGUCUCGAACUCCUGACCUCAGGUGAUCCACCCGCCUCAGCCUCCCAAAGUGCCCGUAUCACAGGCACCAGCCACUGCAUCCAGCAGGUCUCAAGUUUUUAUAGGUCCAGGCUAGGGUGGUCUUGGAAAAUGCAACAUUUGGGCUCCAAAGCAGGAGUGCCUGUCCUCACCUGGGUCCAUGGUGUGGAGCCCUAGCCAGGGACCACACUCACCUCCACCCAGUACUUCCCUUUCUCUCUUCCAUAUCAUUUAAAGGGACCACACUCUUCCCUUCCCAGAACUCUGGCAUCACUAGGAUCUAUUUCCCUGUGGCUGUGAUUAUUUAGUCUAAAAGAAUAUAACUUACUUAAGACAAAUGUCAUUUGUCUGAAAGAAUCUUUGGAGGUUUUCAUGGCUCAUGUGAUGCAUCCUAUGUCUUUGAAACCAGAAAACAUUCUGGUCUUUGUUUAACUCAAAAUAAAUGAAUUUGUAAUAUUUUAUGAACUCUAAAAUUAUAGUUGUGCUUUAAGUUGCUUUCCAUCUAUUGUAUCUCUUGUGUAAACACAACUCCAUGACAGCCUGUAUCCUUGGGGUGGGAGUGGGAAAAUAAUGUUGUAAUAGAAGAAAACUUACUAAGGAGAUCUGUGUUUAAUUACAAUAUAUGUGGUUUAUUCUGAAAGAACUUGGAGUUUUCUUUAUUAUUCUAAAUUGUCCAAGACCAGACUGCUUGAAUGCCCUAGUCCAAAUGGCAAAUGUCUCUCUUUCUAUAGUUUAUACACAGAACAGGAAAAAACAGUCAUUCUUCAUCUCCCUUCUUAUUCUUGUUUACAAAAGACUUUAACUAGGUCUUAUGUCUGGGGAUUCCUUUAAAAGUAUUAUUCUAGUUCAGCUAGCUGAGAAUGAAUAGAACAAAGAGAAGUCAUUAUCCCAGGGAGGCUUUAAAGUUUCCUGAAGUCACUUGUAAUGCCAUUUUAAUAGCAUAUAUAGAGAACCAUUCUGGCUAAAAUAUCCUGGGGGUCUUGACCACUAACAUCAUGGAGGAAUGGAGGUUAAACAAGCACAAACACUGGACCAGAGUGAGAAAAACAGGAUACCAGCAAAGUUCCUGCUACUCAUUAUGCUUGGCCAUAGGCAGUACCUUCUCUCUGGAGCUGAGAUUUUUCUGUCCAUAAAUACAGGUUUGAAAGCUCAGAAGUUGUGUCCGGAGUUGUUUCCUUCCGGUGGGUUCAUAGUCUCACUGACUUCAAGAAUGGAGCCACGGACCUUCACGAUAAGUCAUUCCACUUCUUCUGAGGGAGUGAAGAAAGAGGCCAAGUUCAGAAUUGUACCAAUUGACUACCUUGACCUGGACAUAAGCACCAGAAUGGUUGCACUCAACAACAAAGACUGUACUGGGAAUAGAAAGAUGAACAAGACAGUGCACUUCCCUUCAAAGAGCUUACAGAAUCACAACCAGCAGGAUUUGUGCUAGACUUUGGAGAUAUGAAGAUGAUUGAAUCAAGGUCUUUAUCUUUAACUGAGAUGUUCAUAAUAAUAUCACAGAAAAGAAGACAUAUAAAGAUCGUAUACAAAUAAAUACAAUACAAUGUGGUAAAAGAUCUCAGCCUCCAUAACUUUAAAAAUGGUAUAAAUUAUAUCGUUUAAAAAUUGCAAGAAGAAAACUGUUGCAAACAUUUGCAGUCACAUGACCUGAAAGGACCUUUGAAGAUACAACUUUUGGAAUCUUAGUCUCCAUUUUGAAUAUAUACUUUUGCUGUUAUAACCAGUAGAAGAGAAUUUCCAGCAACUUAUACGUUAUUAUUUUUCCAGGUGACUGAGCAUUGAAAGAACUUUACUCAUAAAUGGGUUGUCAACACUAGCAUGGAGUGUCUUAGGCAGCAGUAAGUUCACCAUUCUUGGGUAUUUAAAAAGAAGAUGGAUGAACAUCUGAAAGGAAUCCCGUAAUGAGGUUUUGGCAUUGCUCAACAGAUUAACUUUUAACACUCUUCCAUCUUUGAUCUUUUUUACAUUCCAACUUCAACGUAAAACUUUCUUGAAGCCAAGAAGUAUUAAUUUUAAAAUGGAAAAAACACCAUAUUUAUUUGUGUUACUUAUUUAUAUCACAUGAAUAUACUUUCAGAUAUGUGGAUAUUCAAUACUGUCUACAGUUUGUAACAUAGUAAAGAGGUGUCAUUUUUAAUAAGUCAAAUGUUUUGCUUAAAAGUAUAUGUAAUUUUUUCUAUGAAAUGUUGGUAAAAUGUUGAUCUCACAAUAGAUUUAAUAUUUUAAUGUCAGGUUUCAAAUGAAUUUGAUUUUUAAGAAAUAUAUUUUCACCUUUACUUUAAUAUAGUUAUUUUCUUCUUUUAUGUAAUUAGAAGUAGAACUAUCCAAGAACAUUUAAAAUUAAAUUAGGGAGUUUUUCAACUUGACUGUUAAAUAUUACUGCUACCUCUCCACUGUACUUAGACCUGCACCUUGUGUUAAGAAAAACAUUUUAACAAAUUUAAAAAAUAA
ensembl:lncRNA novel transcript